UUUGAGGACCACCACCCUCACCCAGUGUGGGACCUCUUGAUAUUUCUUGGAGCUGUGGUGGAGCACAUUGGUGAUGAUGACCGUCUCCAGCAGACUGAUGACCAUGAGGGCCAGACACACGGAGAAAUAGAUACCUACAGGAAGUCGAAGGACAGGGGGACACAUUGAAAGAUCAAAUGAAAGAGGUCACGUGUGAAGGUCUAAUCACUCAGUGAUUUCUUUUGCAAGACUCUUUAGGUGUUCCGGUCACUACACCACCACGUGUCAUCCCCUCUGACCUAUGAUGGGCGUGCCGUUGGCUGUGCUGGGCAGCAGGUCGUUCAUGAUGAGCAGGAAGACGGUGUAGCCCAGGAUGAGUGUCAUCUUGAAGGAGGCGCGGUCAACGCUGUGGGGCGGCAGGUAGAAGGACAGGAUGUCGAUGAGCAUGAGGAAGGAGCUGGGGAUGAGCAGGUUGACCACGUAGAGCACUGGGCGCCGCUUGAUGACCACCUGGUGAACAAGAAAGAUUCAAGAGUAGCAAACAAUGUGUGAAUGGAUUUUCCUCACCCAAAUGGUGAUGAUGUCCCAUUCGUCGACUCCAAACUGAAGGAUGGACGUCUCUCCCAGUAUGUCCACCAGCUCCCACUCUCCACUGGCCUCCAGGUAAAGCUUUGAGUUUCUAGACAUCUCCUCGAAGGUCAGGGCUGGACUGACCCUGACAUCCCUUACUGUGAAAGAGGAAAACACAUUGAGAGAGAGAAAACUGGCCAGACAGUAUCAUAGUGCUGUCGAAGUGCUUCUGCAAGGUGACGCUGUUUUAUUACACAGUGAUUUUUAUUUUAGUUCUCCUUGUUCGUUUGUGUUUCAAAUCAGAGGAGCCUCUUCUUACUGGUGUGCAU